rnacentral:misc_RNA from 1 species
AACGCACAUUGCGCCCGCCAGUAUUCUGGCGGGCAUGCCUGUCCGAGCGUCAUUUCAACCCUCGAACCCCUCCGGGGGGUCGGCGUUGGGGAUCGGCACGCCCUCACACGGGUGCCGGCCCCGAAAUCCAGUGGCGGUCUCGCCGCAGCCUCUCCUGCGCAGUAGUUUGCACACUCGCACCGGGAGCGCGGCGCGGCCACAGCCGUAAAACACCCCAAACUUCUGAAAUGUUGACCUCGGAUCAGGUAGGAAUACCCGCUGAACUUAA